GUAGGUGGCAAGCGUUGUCCGGAAUUAUUGGGCGUAAAGCGCGCGCAGGCGGUUUUUUAAGUCUGAUGUGAAAGCCCACGGCUCAACCGUGGAGGGUCAUUGGAAACUGGAGAACUUGAGUACAGAAGAGGAAAGCGGAAUUCCACGUGUAGCGGUGAAAUGCGUAGAGAUGUGGAGGAACACCAGUGGCGAAGGCGGCUUUCUGGUCUGUAACUGACGCUGAGGCGCGAAAGCGUGGGGAGAAAACAGGGAUUAGAUACCCUGGUAGUCCACGCCGUAAACGAUGAGUGCUAAGUGUUAGGGGGUUUCCCGCCCCUUAGUGCUGCAGCUAACGCAUUAAGCACUCCGCCUGGGGAGUACGGCCGCAAGGCUG
rnacentral:rRNA from 1 species